CAUGUUGCCAGAGACUUAGGAGAUUGCUGAAGGUGAGAGCCCUGCUGAACAGAAGUAACUCUCUGCAUGAUCACUCAGCAAUUAACUGGAUCUCAUUCAUGGGAAAUAUGUCUAUGAGGCAACCUGAGAGAGACAUUAGAGAAGGAGUCCCCAAACUAACAAAUGUAUGAAGGAAGGCAGUGAGAAAAAGCCACAAGGCAGUAGAAUCACAAAUGAUCAGAAAGUGCAAUAGGAGAAUUGAAUAGAGAGGUACCAUUCAGGAAGAGCACAGGAGGAAGGAGCAUGUGGACUGGGAGGCAGAGAUGGAGAAUCUGGAUCCUGGGGUAUGUGGGUGGGAGGUGAAAAUGAUGAGAGAUAGAGCAAGGUCACCAGAACUAAUGUUGAACUACAAGACCAACUGUCCUAUCCUGAAUAGUGGGCCUUCCCAAUGUAGAACUGAAGAGGGGUCCUGAUGGACUAAGAGUGGGCCCUGAGCAGGUCACACAUUUGUCUUCAAGUUGAUCACUAGUGAGUGUAAAAGAUGAGACUUCUCUUUUUUUUGGAUUUGAGGCUUGAACCUAGGGCCACUUAACCCCUGAGCCAUAUUCCCAGACCUUUUUAACUGAUACGGGAUCUUGCUAAGUUGCUUAGGACCUCAUUAAGUUGCUGAGUUUGGUCUCAAUCUUGCAAUCUUCUGUUUCAGCCUCUCUCUGAAGUUUCUGGCAUUACAGGCAUAAGUCACUGCACCUGGCAAGAUGGUACUUUGUCUGAGGACAAGGGUCCUCCAAGCCAGGAGUUCUGAAAUAUUUCUUCAAAAGAAGGGGAGAACACAUCAUCCCAAAGACUAAAAGAAAGAGACAGAUCUCUGAAGAAAUAUUUACUGUGGGAUUUGGAAGAAAUUUUCAGGAAAUUUCAUCACUGGGAUUCUGCAAUAGCGUUCACCAGCUGUAUGCCACACAGCACGAUCUCCAGACACGAGGCAACCACCAGCAACGAGAAAAGCGUCAAAUUCCAGAGAACCACGUUGGGUGGCUCCUCGCACAAAUACCAUUGAGUACGGUUGAACAAUCCCACUUGUCAUCCACUAAGCAUUUGGGUCCAGUUUGGAGGCCAGCUCCUGACACGCCAAGGCAGUAGAUGGCGCCAAGCACUCCAAUGGCCGAGGAGAAGAUAGAACGCAGCAUCUGGACCCGGUGUGGAAGAUCUCACCCUGCAGCGAUUCCCACAGCAGCCUGUUCCACAACAGCCCUUGCCCCCUGCCCGAACCGCAGCGAUUCCUGGACACAGCACCUGUGGGACAAGAAUCAGUGUGAUAAUGUGAACCCUCCACUCCAGCCCAGAUCCUCAAGGUCUUCACCUCCUAUGGAUGCUGCCUAUGGUGUCCUCAAUCCUUUGGACUAUAGGAAGAUCUUAUCUCUACCUGUCCUGGAACGUGCCUAUCUUAACAAAACUUUAUUUAUAUGCCUAUCUUAACUCUGUCCAUAUUGUAGCUUCCUUGAGGGUUCGGUUCAAUAUUAAACAGUUCCCAUAAA